AAAAGUUCAGCAUGCAGAUCCAUUUUCUGCCACCGAAUACAUUAGCAUGGGAUAAUGGAAUAGGACCCUGUCCUCCUAUUUUCAGUUGGUUUUGGCAGCGCGAGGACUAGGGUAAUGAUUAAUAGGGAUAGUUGGGGGCAUUAAUAUUUAAUUGUCAGAGGUGAAAUUCUUGGAUUUAUGAAAGAUUAACUUCUGCGAAAGCAUCUGCCAAGGAUGUUUUCAUUAAUCAAGAACGAAAGUUAGGGGAUCGAAGACGAUCAGAUACCGUCGUAGUCUUAACCAUAAACGAUGCCGACCAGCGAUUAGGAGACGUUGAAUACAAAACACCACCAUCGGUUGCGGUCGUCCUUGGCGUCUCGGUUUCGGCCGGGGCGCGGGGAUGGCUUAGCCCGGUGGCACCGGUGAAUGACUCCCCUAGCAGCUUGUGAGAA
rnacentral:rRNA from 1 species